rnacentral:rRNA from 1 species
UACGUAGGGGGCGAGCGUUGUCCGGAAUUACUGGGCGUAAAGGGUGCGUAGGCGGCUUUUUAAGUUGGAUGUGAAAUACCCGGGCUUAACUUGGGGGGUGCAUUCAAAACUGGAGAGCUAGAGUUCAGGAGAGGGAAGCGGAAUUCCUAGUGUAGCGGUGAAAUGCGUAGAUAUUAGGAGGAACACCAGUGGCGAAGGCGGCUUUCUGGACUGACACUGACGCUGAUGCACGAAAGCGUGGGGAGCAAACAGG